rnacentral:rRNA from 1 species
UACGUAGGGGGCAAGCGUUGUCCGGAUUUAUUGGGCGUAAAGAGCGUGUAGGCGGCUUGGUAGGUCUGCUGUGAAAACUCGGGGCUCAACCCCGAGACGUCGGUGGAAACCACCUGGCUAGAGUCCGGAAGAGGAGAGUGGAAUUCCUGGUGUAGCGGUGAAAUGCGCAGAUAUCAGGAGGAACACCCAUUGCGAAGGCAGCUCGCUGGGACGUUACUGACGCUGAGACGCGAAAGCGUGGGGAGCGAACAGG